rnacentral:rRNA from 1 species
UAGAGUUUGAUCCUGGCUCAGAGCGAACGCUGGCGGCAGGCCUAACACAUGCAAGUCGAACGGAUCCUUCGGGAUUAGUGGCGGACGGGUGAGUAACACGUGGGAACGUGCCCUUUGGUUCGGAACAACUCAGGGAAACUUGAGCUAAUACCGGAUGUGCCCUUCGGGGGAAAGAUUUAUCGCCAUUGGAGCGGCCCGCGUCUGAUUAGCUAGUUGGUGGGGUAAAGGCCCACCAAGGCGACGAUCAGUAGCUGGUCUGAGAGGAUGAUCAGCCACAUUGGGACUGAGACACGGCCCAAACUCCUACGGGAGGCAGCAGUGGGGAAUCUUGCGCAAUGGGCGAAAGCCUGACGCAGCCAUGCCGCGUGAAGGAUGAAGGUCUUAGGAUUGUAAAAUUCUUUCACCGGGGACGAUAAUGACGGUACCCGAGAAGAAGCCCCG